UACGGAGGGUGCGAGCGUUGCUCGGAAUCACUGGGCGUAAAGCGUACGCAGGCGGUUCGUUAAGUCGGGUGUGAAAGCCCUGGGCUCAACCCAGGAAGUGCACUCGAAACUGCGAGGCUAGAGUAUCGGAGAGGUUGGUGGAAUUCUCGGUGUAGAGGUGAAAUUCGUAGAUAUCGAGAGGAACACCGGUGGCGAAGGCAGGUCUCUGGGCCACUACUGACGCUGAGAAGCGAAAGCAUGGGGAGCGAACAGG
rnacentral:rRNA from 1 species